UAAACGUUCUAGGCUUAUUAUAUAUUGGACGCAAAAAAAUGUAUAGUGUUUCAAGAAGGUAACAGUGAAAUAUGUGUGUUUUCAAUUGUGGAUAACGAAUACCAGCCUUAACUUGUGGCCUUCCGUAAAUAUAUAAUGAAACAAUAUUUCAGUUUAGAAUGUAAAACGGCGGGUACAAAUCUUUGCAAAAUUUAUCAUCCAACAAGUGUGGCAGAUUGGUCAAUGAUAUGUAUCGUGUUUUAUCACCAUGUGUUUGCAAGCGAAACUUUGACUAGAUGCACAGCUCUAUGAGCUUAAAGUAAAAAUUUGUUUAAAAUAUUAUGUCACCCUGUACAGUUAUCAUCAAUGUUACCAUCAACCGUUUCUGUGCUGCGCUCAGUUUCUAAAUAAAAAUCCGGAAAGAUUGUUUUACGAAAA
rnacentral:sRNA from 1 species